rnacentral:rRNA from 1 species
GCAAGUCGAACGAGAACGGGGAUAGCUUGCUAUCUUGUCAGCUAAGUGGCGCACGGGUGAGUAAUAUAUAGGUAACAUGCCUUCGAGAAGGGGAUAACGUUUGGAAACGGACGCUAAUACCCUAUAUGCCUUUAAUACAUAAGUAUGCAAGGGAAACAUUUAUGGCUCUAGGAUGGGACUGUACGGUAUCAGUUAGUUGGUGAGGUAAUGGCUCACCAAGACAAUGACACCUAACUGGUUUGAGAGGAUGAUC